rnacentral:lncRNA from 1 species
CCAGCCCCUAGCGCAGACGGCGGAGAGCAGAGAGGGAGCGCGCCUUGGCUCGCUGGCCUUGGCGGCGGCUCCUCAGGAGAGCUGGGGCGCCCACGAGAGGAUCCCUCACCCGGGUCUCUCCUCAGGGAUGACAUCAUCCGUCCACCUCCUUGUCUUCAAGGACCACCUCCUCUCCAUGCUGAGCUGCUGCCAAGGGGCCUGCUGCCCAUCUACACCUCACGAGGGCACUAGGAGCACGGUUUCCUGGAUCCCACCAACAUACAAAGCAGCCACUCACUGACCCCCAGGACCAGGAUGGCAAAGGAUGAAGAGGACCGGAACUGACCAGCCAGCUGUCCCUCUUACCUAAAGACUUAAACCAAUGCCCUAGUGAGGGGGCAUUGGGCAUUAAGCCCUGACCUUUGCUAUGCUCAUACUUUGACUCUAUGAGUACUUUCCUAUAAGUCUUUGCUUGUGUUCACCUGCUAGCAAACUGGAGUGUUUCCCUCCCCAAGGGGGUGUCAGUCUUUGUCGACUGACUCUGUCAUCACCCUUAUGAUGUCCUGAAUGGAAGGAUCCCUUUGGGAAAUUCUCAGGAGGGGGACCUGGGCCAAGGGCUUGGCCAGCAUCCUGCUGGCAACUCCAAGGCCCUGGGUGGGCUUCUGGAAUGAGCAUGCUACUGAAUCACCAAAGGCACGCCCGACCUCUCUGAAGAUCUUCCUAUCCUUUUCUGGGGGAAUGGGGUCGAUGAGAGCAACCUCCUAGGGUUGUUGUGAGAAUUAAAUGAGAUAAAAGAGGCCUCAGGCAGGAUCUGGCAUAGAGGAGGUGAUCAGCAAAUGUUUGUUGAAAAGGUUUGACAGGUCAGUCCCUUCCCACCCCUCUUGCUUGUCUUACUUGUCUUAUUUAUUCUCCAACAGCACUCCAGGCAGCCCUUGUCCACGGGCUCUCCUUGCAUCAGCCAAGCUUCUUGAAAGGCCUGUCUACACUUGCUGUCUUCCUUCCUCACCUCCAAUUUCCUCUUCAACCCACUGCUUCCUGACUCGCUCUACUCCGUGGAAGCACGCUCACAAAGGUAAAGACUUUUCUGUGGCUUAAUCCUUGUCAUGUUUUCGGCUCAUGGACACAAGGACACAUUUUCAUGCCUUCUCUCACAGGGCUCUGCGUCUCCGGUUCACUUCUGUGUCUUUACACUCCCUUCACAGAGACACUUGCUCCCCCUUCUCUCGUUCUUAGCAUCCCCUAGGAACUUGCACACCCAGGUCUCUCGACUUCUGGACCUGCUUCUUACCAUGCCGUCUUAAGCAGUCAGGAGUCGCUGCCUGGGUUCGAGUCCUAGUUAAAUUACUUAGUGCUGAGACCUUGGGGUAGGUAAACUUUUCCAAGCCAGGUUUAUCUCAGUUUCAAAAUAGGGUUAAUCGUCUUUAUCUGGCAGGUCAGGUGGGAUGUCUCACAGGUAAGCACCAGAUGCCAUUUGAAAGGCUUGAAGCAAAGUCAAUAAAGCAUUCAUGGGAAAAUACAACUGGAGGCACCACUAGAUUUUCGUAUACAUUAGGUUCCCACGGGGAGGACCGAAGAGAGAAGAAAGAAGUGGAAAGGGAGGAGCGUGCAGGAGAGACAGGAGAAGAGAAUAACUAAACAAAGACAUUAAAGACAAAAAAAAAGUAGGAAAGGGAGACUUAGAAAAUAUUAAAAGCCACCAAAAACACAUCCAAAGACGGUUUCCCCUUACGUUAGUUGGGCUAAAAGAAAGCAAAUGGGAAGAAGGUUUUAAAUUGAUUAUCCCAGUGACAAAUCCCAGGAAGCUUUCACAUCAAAUCACCCUAUUCUGGGUUUUUAACUCCUUCCAUCGAGUUUAACCUCUUUACCUCCCACAUCCUGGUAAACCCUGCCCCCUCCCUACCGCCCCCUUUGCUGGUGAUUAAAUCCUGAAGGUACACGAAGUAUUUCAGUGAAUGAAUGGCUAACAGAAAAGGGCCUCCCCUCCCCCUUACCCUGGCGGUGUUUUUCAGUUUUAUUCCACUUUCCGCCCUUUUCCCUUAAUGAACACAGGGCUAAUCUCGGGCCUUGUCGAAGGAAGAGGCUGCAGACGUUAAUGAGGUUAGCUGCUGGAUUCCAGUAUUCGUCGCAUAAGGAUCCUUCUUUGUCUGCGAAGGAAAAACACACUGAUUAUCAUAAUGAGGUGAACUGGCCACCGCCGGGCCGGGGCGAUGUGGCUUCUUAAGCCACACUUCUAAUUUUGGUGAUGGAGCCGACAUUUCUUUGGCUUCUCAUUUAAGUCUUUGCCUCUGUCCCAGUGCGAAGUCCAUUCAGCGGGGUUGAAAGUUGCAGGCAGCUUUGGGAAGGGGGGCGUCGGACAGGGUUGCAUUGUAGAAAGUGGCUUUGUUCGAUCCUUCGCACAGAUGCAAAUGGCCAGAGCAUUCAUUCCCUUUCUUCAAGAGCUGAGGACUGGGGGGGCCACUGGUGAUCAGUUCCCAACUCUAGCUCUCCUCUGACUCAUCUCAGGACCCAUUGAGGACAUCCAAAACUCACUCAAGAUCACCAAGUGGUAGGAAAGUACUAACUCCUGGGCAUAGCCCUAGGGGAGUGACUACAAUGUGAAUACUCAUGGAAUGCCUAGCCAGGUGAAGAAGUGAAUGCAUGUUGGCAUCCCAGAGGGACCCCCCUUAAGAGGGCAUAGUUUGGGGUUCAGAUUUGACUCCAGCAUACUGUUGAAAUUGGGCACAGGGGGCUAGUGAUUAGUCAGGAUCAAUCAGUGGAGAGGAGAUUAAAACUCACAUCUGGGAGUCCGGAAUCAGAACUUGUAGUUCUUUUUUUUGAAAUGGAGUCUCGCUCUGUCGCCCAGGCUGGAGUGCAGUGGCGUGAUCUCGGCUCACUGCAACCUCUGCCUUCCGGGUUCAAGCAAUUCUCCCACCUCAGCCUCCUGAGUAGCUGGGAUUACAGGCGCCCACCACCACAGCCGGCUACUUUUUGUAUUUUUAGGAGAGACGGGGUUUCACCAUGUUGGUCAGGCUGGUCUUGAACUCCUGACCUCAUGAUCCACCUGCCUUAGCCUCCCAAAGUGCUGGGAUUACAGGCGUGAGCCACCAUGCCCAGCCCUAUAGUAGUUCUUCUUUUGCCCCUUAAUAUCUUCACCCACAUGUCCUGUACCCUGCCUGAACCCUCCUCCUCUUUUUGUUCUGAUCUUUGAGCUCCCUAGAGCCCAUAAUUCUUUAGAGCAGGUAUGUCCCGAGUCUGAAACAUGCCCUUAUUUGUCCCAAGCUCUGGACAUUUCUCACCCCAAGGCGGAUCAAUCAUGAUUAAAUCACUCCAAUUAAACUUUAGGCUCCAGUCAGACCUUCAGCCAAAUGGAAAAAAAAACUAGGGGAUAAGGGAGGUAGUUGGAGCAAGAAAAUGUUAUUAGUUGAAACCUUACGGGACCUUCCUCCCUUAGUGAGUCUGUUGGCUAAAGGUUCUCUGGCUUCGUGAAUUAGAAUCGGAUACUGUUUCCAAGUUAGCAAAACCAACUCUACCCCAGCACCCCACGAGGAAGAAUGUGGAAGGAUCUCCCAUUGGCCGGUUGGGGCAAAAGCCUGAGGCAAUCUUUCAUCCCCUUUUGCCAAGGCGAGACUUUCCCAGUGACGGUGAUGUAGUUGGCCACUCUGACUAUGGGUGGACUCGGGUGUAGACCUCUGAAGCUGAGAUCACACGAAAACCUGGCCUCCCCGCCAUGUAGCUGUUGGAGAGUAGAAAAAUAGAGCACGCCUGAUGUUUCUAAAUGAGAAGACUUUCAAUAGUAAUGAAGAAUCCAUGGCACUCUCCUCACCCUCAAACACAUGGCAGUCAUUCACAUACAGGCCCCAAAGCCACUGUUAGUGCUGCAGUAGCUCCUGUGGACAUUGGAAAGCCCGGAGAGGGCGUGGAAGAAAUCAGCUGGCCCCCGGCAGGUUCUCUGGGGUUUUGUGCCCAAGGCUCCUGGAGCCCUAAAAACUUUCAAAAGUUAACUCCCCACGUCCCCAUCCUGCUUGGGUUUCUGGACUUUUCUGAGGCACCGGCAGAGGGGUCUCGUUGCUCCCUUGAGUGUAGGGGCAGCCCUUUAACCUGGCUCCUUGAGUCCCUGCUUUUUCUGCUUCUGUUGCCUUCUUCCUCGUCUUCCUCUCUCUCAAUAUCUCCCUCUCUUUGUCCCUCCCCAGUUCCUGACCUGGCCAUCCCGGGGUGCCCUUGACCAGCCCCGUGUCUCCUCAGGGUGUCCCAGCACCAGCCUGGCACAGAGUGGGGCUCAGUUAGAGUAUGUGGGAUGUUGGUUUCGCCAGGUGAGUGAAUGAAAGGACUCGACCACCACAGCUGAGCCACUAGCUGGGCCAUGCGAAGAGUUCUAGGUGCAAAGGCUGGAGGGUGGAAUUCAUUUUUGAGAGGUGUGUGAGCAGCUUCCGACCCCUGCCCCAUUUGAACGGGGGCCUUGCUGGUCGCGUCCCUGCAUUCACCCGCGCGGCCAUCCCGUCAUCCAACAGUUGAUCCUAACUGAGCACGCCCACGGCCCUGGUCUGGCCUGGGCACCGGCCACCGUAGCCCAUCCCUUGAUGGCCUCUGUGUCCCCAGGAGGGCGGGCCGGGGGGUUGCCCAGGGGCUGGAGCAGUGGACUGUGGCUCCAUAGAGGUAGGCCGGAGGGUGUGAGGGCAGAUUCAAGCUAUCCCCAGGGCUCUGCUCUGGUCGGAGCCAGCCCCUUCUCCCUCUCUGCCUUCCCCGCCCCAUUCCUGAUGCUGAACUGUUCUGGACCCCUGGCCCUGAGUCUCUCAGGACCAAAGUGGGCACGGGAACAGCUGUAGUGUGUGCCCCCCCGGGCUUUGGCCACAGGUCUCCCUCUCGAGGUGUGGUUGUGACUGCGACCCUUCCCUUGCCGUGAUGCCUUCCUCCCCCGGGGCUUGGUCCAGCUCCUUCACUCUCUAGCAGCUGCUGGGGCCCACCUCCCAUGCCGAGGACCAGCAGGGGAAACCUCCAGGGAGCAUCUGCAGGCUCUGCUUCUGCCCGGCUGCUGGCUUGCUCUCCCUGGUGGCUCUCCAGCGGCCAGCUUCCUCACCCACCCGGCACUCCGCUUUGCUCUGUCUCCUGAGGUGGGCCUGACCAACCUCCCCUUCUCUGCCUCAGUCCCUGGGCUCCAGGGCUCAGCUCCACAGCCCUCUGCCUAGCAGGCUGGUUCUCCCUGCCAAGCCCAUACCUGUGGUCACCUGGCCCUCCUGUGGUCUGAGUACCACUCCCCUGCCCCAGGAGCCACUCCCACUCCAGCUGCCUGUUUCCAGCAGGUUCCCAGUGCCCCCGACAAGCCCCUGCUGGUGUCUCCAUCUCCUGCCAAGCAUCCUCCAGUGCCUCCUCCUGUGGGCCUGGCCUCAGGGCUAUGGACAGACUCCUGUCCCAUCCCAGAGACCCCUCGUGAUCGUGCCCUGGCACGUGGGCCGUGGCCCGGCUGGGUCGGCUGAAGAACUGCGGAUGGAAGCUGCGGAAGAGGCCCUGAUGGGGCCCACCAUCCCGGACCCAAGUCUUCUUCCUGGCGGGCCUCUCGUCUCCUUCCUGGUUUGGGCGGAAGCCAUCACCUGGAUGCCUACGUGGGAAGGGACCUCGAAUGUGGGACCCCAGCCCCUCUCCAGCUCGAAAUCCCUCCACAGCCACGGGGACACCCUGCACCUAUUCCCACGGGACAGGCUGGACCCAGAGACUCUGGACCCGGGGCCUCCCCUUGAGUAGAGACCCGCCCUCUGACUGAUGGACGCCGCUGACCUGGGGUCAGACCCGUGGGCUGGACCCCUGCCCACCCCGCAGGAACCCUGAGGCCUAGGGGAGCUGUUGAGCCUUCAGUGUCUGCAUGUGGGAAGUGGGCUCCUUCACCUACCUCACAGGGCUGUUGUGAGGGGCGCUGUGAUGCGGUUCCAAAGCACAGGGCUUGGCGCACCCCACUGUGCUCUCAAUAAAUGUGUUUCCUGUCUUAACAAAAA